rnacentral:lncRNA from 1 species
AAAAAAAAAACUCUGUCUCGAUCAAUUAAUCAAUCAGUAAAUAAACUUACGUCAAGAUUUUAUCCCAGGGUUGGAAUUGUCCCAGACACUUAAGUGCGCAGUGAAGCCUUGUAAAACAAAUGGAAAUCUCCCCUUUACCCUGGUAUGUGAAGGAAACUGAGGCUCAGAUGGGAGAAUNNNNNNNNNNGCUGGACAUGGGACAGGUCCUCGAAGCUGGGGCUCAGGGAGGGCGAGACGAUGUCGGGGCUGGUGUCACAUGAGCCCGUGCUCUGUUCUGAGAUGGCUCAUAAUGCACACAGGGAUAAGGAUUGUCAUGCUGCUUAUCCACAUUCUCCUGUGCGCCCUCCCCACAGGGCACGGACUCCUGUCCUAGUGCCCAUUCUGCCAGCUGCUGACAGGACCAGGCCAGCACCCCAACCCUGCCCCCACCCCAGGUUUCCCCAGACCCACUGCCCAUUACAGCCUGGUCUCAGUAUCAGGCCCCAAGGUGGCCUUCCAGAAGCCUGCCCUGGGCGGAGAGUGCUGACGUGCUCGGGAGCAGGAGCCCUGCGUGACACUUACGGCUGAAGGCCUCUGGGUGCUGCCUGGCCAGUUUCCCUUUCAGCGUCCUGCAGGGGAGAGAAGGCACACAGGGCUUAACCUGCUGAGCAGGUAGGCUGGGCCUGGUGCUGGCCACAAGCCCCUGCUGCCAGCUGAGGGCAAGGGGAGACGGGAGUGAGAACCCCCACACUGUUCAUCAUCUCACAUCUUCACUCUCUCUAGGUGCUCGGCCCAGCAGCCACGGCCCUGACAGUCACCCACCAGCCGGCCUCCAGCCCCAAGGAUGCGGCCGCAGAAGACCCUCGAGGCCGAGUCCGGGAGGUCCAUCUCUUUCUCCUCCUCCGCUGCCUGAAACAGGCAAGAACAGAGUGGUCUGCACUAGUCACCAGAUGAGAAAACUGAGGCUCAGGGACACUGAGAAACUGGGCCACUGUCACACAGCCAGUGAACCUAAGUCACAACAAAUGGCCACAGCCCACAGGUCUCACAAAGGUGUGAAUCUGAACAGGUGCACAAUAUCCAGCUGUGACAGGACAGUGGCUUCUUACAGCAGCUGAUUUCUGCCCGACUUCUGAUGUUUCUCCAGGAAAAAAGAGGAAACAGGGAUUUUUUUUUUCUGGGAAAUUGCCUCAUUGACAAAUGUCAGCAAUCAAUACUUUUUUCCAAAAUAUCAUGGAGGCCAAGAGUAUCUAUUUGUGAUCUGUAUCUGGUCAGUGGUUUGCAGCACCUUCUAGAAAUAAGGUGCCACACCCGGCGAAACCCCCUUCCCUCUAAUAAUAACUAUGGUUAUUGAACUCCUAUGACAUGCCACGCACAGACACCCAGUCUCCACAUUCCCAAAGAAGCAUGAUCUUGUAUAAAGAGGAUACCUGGACCGGGUGCUCAUGCCUGUAAUCUCAGCACUUUGGGAGGCCGAGGCUGGUGGAUCACCUGAGGUCAGGAGUUCAAGACCAGCCUGGCCAACAUGGUGAAACCCCCGUCUCUACUAAAAAUACAAAAAUUAGCCAGGCAUGAUGGCGGGCACCUGUAGUCCCAGCUACUCAGGAGGCUGAGGCAGGAGAAUCGCUUGAACCCGGGAGGCAGAGGUUGCAAUGAGCCAAAAUCAAGCCACUGCAUUCUAGUGUGGGCUACAGAGGGAGACUUCAUCUCAACUGAAAAAAAAAAAAAAAAAAAAAAAAAGACACCUGGAGAGGGAGGCCCAUAGCUAGUACCAGUGAGACACAGUACUGGGACCUUCUGGGAUACACUCCUCCUUCAAAACAGGACUCUUUUCUGUCUCUGGCUCCCAGAUGUGAGGGCUGAGGGGUUCCUGGCACCUCCCUCCCGUCCCCCCGCAACUUCCUCUCCCAAGAAGCCUUCCCUGAUUACUGCUAGUCUGGCCCACAUACACAGUCAAAUUGACCCAGCAAGAGCUCUGAUCCCAACUCCAAAUGUAGAUUUAUUGAAGAAACGCAGAGAGGUAGGCUGUUUGACCAUGGGAGAGCCACUUCACCCUUCUGAAUCAGUUUUUUCAACCAUAAAAUGAAAAUAAGGUAGAAUGAAGAUCUCACAGUGCUGUCUGUGGCAACUGAAACCAAAGGUGAUAACGACUGGAGCUCAGGACAGGCUGUUUCUCCAAGAGGAGUGUGAAGAAGUCCCGGGAAUCAACAUUUUGAGAGCAUCCCAGGGGCCUCUAAGAAUAUAUUACGGGCAAACACUUGUAGAGCACUUCAUUUCAUCCUCAAUCACCGUUACGAGGCAGACACAAUCAUCUCCGAGUGAAACUGAGGCUCACAGGGGCGGGCUCCGUUGCCGAAACUCACAGGGAGAGGCAGAGAAGCACCACGGUUCUAUAUCCAGGUUAUUUAACAGAAUUUAACUCAGCCAUCCAAGCUCUGAAAAACCCCAAGUGGGGAGGGGCUCAAAUAUCCCCUCACGCCCCGUCCCCUACAAUACAGGGAAACUGAGGCAUAAACCGGGCAACGCCCAGCUCCAGGUUACACGACACACCCAGAACACAGGAGGCCCCAAUUCCUAUGCCCCUGAUCCGGAUCCAGAUCCAGCCCGUAGCGCCGCCUGCGUAUCCAUUGAGCAGACGGGGAAACUGAGGCCUGUGCGCAGCAGGAAUGACCAGAUGUGGCCAGCGGCGCACCCCACCCCACCGCAGCCCGGGGGCCGCGCCCGACCCGGACCGGUUCCCCGCGGCCCUGGAGUCCCCAGCCCCACCCCAAACUCGGCCCCGGCGUCGGUAGCGGCGGCACCUGCACAUCUGGCGGCCUUGCUCGCGCUUCCGGGAUGGCGCCCGCGCCGGCGAAACGUCACCACGCACCGAUCGUGCGAGCGCGCGUGGCGGGGACGUACCCUGG